rnacentral:lncRNA from 1 species
CAUGCAUAUAUAAAUACGGUAAAUCCUAUACUUAUGAUAUAGAGUUAUGCUUUGAUAACUCCACUGUAAAUUGGAAAAAUGGUAAGUCAGAAAUGAUUAACAAGGUAGUAAUUUGCAUCAGCAUAUCUACAUCUAUUUCUAAGCUGAAGCAGAAUUACUUGGUCAGUUUGAAUGGCCUUGUGAUAAAGCACUCAUCAUAUGAAAGAUCUGGAUUCAUUUGUGUGUUCAACAUCUCCAAUAUUUCACAGGGUCCAGACCUUGCCUUUGAAACUUCAUCCUUCAACUUUUUGAUUGACUCUAACAUGAAUGUUGGACCAUUUUUAGAGUGGACUUUAAAGUAUAAUUUUACAACUAAAAUUAAACCUAAUCAAAUUACUGGAUAAACAGUGUUUGUAUUCAAAUAGUGUAUAGCUAUACAUGAUGACAGCAUCAUAAGACAGUAUUGAGUCUAUAGGAGAGUCAAUGUUUAUUUAUAUCACUAUGCUGAUAAUAUAUUCCAUUAAAUUCUUUGUAAUCUUAUGGUAAAUUGCCAUAAAAUAAUGAGAUUUUUUUUAACAAAUAAGCU